rnacentral:snoRNA from 1 species
AAGAUAUGAUGAACAUACCUUUCACCAUCUUUCGACUGAGUCUAAUGCUGUGAAGGUCUUUACUGACAUUCUU